rnacentral:rRNA from 1 species
CAGUCGCCGCGGUAAAACGGAGGGUGCAAGCGUUAAUCGGAAUUACUGGGCGUAAAGCGUGCGUAGGCGGUUCGUUAAGUCUGUUGUGAAAGCCCCGGGCUCAACCUGGGAAUGGCAAUGGAUACUGGCGAGCUAGAGUGUGUCAGAGGAUGGUGGAAUUCCCGGUGUAGCGGUGAAAUGCGUAGAGAUCGGGAGGAACAUCAGUGGCGAAGGCGACUCUCUGGUCUGUAACUGACGCUGAGGAGCGAAAGCGUGGGGAGCGAACAGGAUUAGAUACCCGAGUAGUCCCUGUCUCUUAUAC